UUCUAUUAUUUAUGUUCUUUAAUUUCAAUUGCAUCAGAUAAUCCUUAAGUUAUGUUUCUUUAAUGAGAAAUGAUAUUUGUACAACCAUUUUUGUACAACUUUUAUACAACCUUAUCUCUCAUACUCACAUUAUCUUCUUAUUCUCUCUCUUCUUUUUUCUCUCUAUAUUGUUUUUGACCAAUAAAAAGAGAACACAACAAGGUUGUCCCAAAAGAGGUGUUCAAAUAUCACUACUCUUCUUUAAUUAAUCAAAUAUAUUAUUUAUUUCAUAGUUUACCAUCACUUAACAUGGCAAAUGUGUGCAAUAGCAUGCGUAUUUGCCUAGUUAAAUUGAAAACCUAAAGAAACAUAAAUUAAAUUAUGAAUUGAAUAAUAAAAGUAGAAAUACUAUGACAUAAAUCCUCCCAAUAUUAUACUUUUACUAAAUCCUCCCAAUAGAAUAUUGACAAAUAUUACCCAAACACUUCACAAAUAUAGGUUUUAUCGCUUUUGGACAAUCAUUGAGACUCUUACAAGGAGUUUUAGCUGCAUCAUCAAAUAAGAAAAAAAUAUGUUAAUAAAAGGUGAUAACAUAUUGUGUAUAAGACAAAAUUUGAAAAUGGUUAAAAAAAUAUCAUACUUUUAUAUGAUUCAACAAGAAAGAUAGAAAGAAAAACCAUCAAAGCAUAAACAAAAA
rnacentral:lncRNA from 1 species